rnacentral:rRNA from 1 species
UACGGAGGAUGCAAGCGUUAUCCGGAAUUAUUGGGCGUAAAGCGUCCGCAGGUGGCACUUCAAGUCUGCUGUCAAAGACCGGGGCUUAACCCUGGAAAGGCAGUGGAAACUGAAGCGCUAGAGUGUGGCAGGGGUAGAGGGAAUUCCCGGUGUAGCGGUGAAAUGCGUAGAGAUCGGGAAGAACAUCGGUGGCGAAGGCAGCUCGCUGGGACGUUACUGACGCUGAGACGCGAAAGCGUGGGGAGCAAACAGG